UGUUAAGUCCCUGCCCUUUGUACAC
rnacentral:piRNA from 1 species